CAAUAGCGUAUAUUAAAGUUGUUGCAGUUAGAACGCUCGUAGUCGGAUUUCGGGGCGGGCCGACCGGUCUGCCGAUGGGUAUGCACUGGUCGGCGCGUCCUUCCUUCCGGAGACCGUCCCUACUCUUAACUGAGCGGGGGCGGGAGACGGGACUUUUACUUUGAAAAAAUCAGAGUGUUUCAAGCAGGCAGCUCGCUCUUGCAUGGAUUAGCAUGGGAUAAUGAAAUAGGACUUUGGUGCUAUUUUGCUGGUUUCGAACACCGAAGUAAUGAUGAGAAGGGACAGUCAGGGGCACUCGUAUUCCGCCGAGAGAGGUGAAAUUCUCAGACCAGCGGAAGACGAACCACUGCGAAAGCAUUUGCCAGGGAUGUUUUCACUGA
rnacentral:rRNA from 1 species